rnacentral:rRNA from 1 species
CAGCCGGAAACGGCUGCUAAUACCGAAUACGAUCUUUUCGUCGCAUGACGGAAAAGAAGAAAAGGAAUGGCCUCUAUACAAAGCUAUCACCGAAGGAGGGGUUUUGCGUCUGAUUAGCUGGUUGGAGGGGUAACGGCCCAACAAGGCGAUGAUCAGUAGCCGGUCUGAGAGGAUGAACGGCCACAUUGGGACUGAGACACGGCCCAGACUCCUACGGGAGGCAGCAGUGGGGAAUCUUCCGCAAUGGACGAAAGUCUGACGGAGCAACGCCGCGUGAGUGAAGAAGGUCUUCGGAUUGUAAAGCUCUGUUAUACGGGACGAAAAAGACGGAUGCCAACAGUAUCCGUCCGUGACGGUACCGUAAGAGAAAGCCACGGCUAACUACGUGCCAGCAGCCGCGGUAAAU